GUGAUCACUUCAACAGCACAAUAUACUAAAAUUGGAAUGAUACAGAGAAGAUUAGCAUGGUCCCAGUGCAAGGAUAACACACAAAUUCAUAAAGCAUUCUAUAUUUUU
ensembl:snRNA U6 U6 spliceosomal RNA